UACGUAGGCAGCGAGCGUUGUUCGGAGUUACUGGGCGUAAAGCGUGCGUAGGCGGUGUUCCAAGUCUGUUGUGAAAUCUCCCGGCUUAACUGGGAGGGUGCGGCGGAAACUGGAACGCUGGAGUAUGGGAGAGGUAAGCGGAAGUUCCCGGUGUAGCGGUGAAAUGCGUAGAUAUCGGGAGGAACACCUGCGGUGUAGACGGCUUACUGGACCAUAACUGACGCUGAGGCACGAAAGCGUGGGUAGCAAACAGG
rnacentral:rRNA from 1 species